GACGGAGGGCGCUAGCGUUGUUCGGAAUUACUGGGCGUAAAGGGCGCGUAGGCGCCCUGGCAGUCGGGUGUGAAAGCCCGGGGCUCAACCCCGGAACGGCACCCGAUACUCCAGGGCUGGAGACCGGGAGAGGAGGGUGGAAUAGCCAGUGUAGAGGUGAAAUUCGUAGAUAUUGGCUGGAACACCGGUGGCGAAAGCGGCUCUCUGGUCCGGAUCUGACGCUGAGGCGCGAAAGCGUGGGGAGCAAACAGGG
rnacentral:rRNA from 1 species